AGAGCUUGCUCUCUGGGUGACGAGCGGCGGACGGGUGAGUAAUGUCUGGGAAACUGCCCGAUGGAGGGGGAUAACCACUGGAAACGGUGGCUAAUACCGCAUAACGUCUACGGACCAAAGUGGGGGACCUUCGGGCCUCACACCAUCGGAUGUGCCCAGAUGGGAUUAGCUAGUAGGUGAGGUAACGGCUCACCUAGGCGACGAUCCCUAGCUGGUCUGAGAGGAUGACCAGCCACACUGGAACUGAGACACGGUCCAGACUCCUACGGGAGGCAGCAGUGGGGAAUAUUGCACAAUGGGCGCAAGCCUGAUGCAGCCAUGCCGCGUGUGUGAAGAAGGCCUUCGGGUUGUAAAGCACUUUCAGCGAGGAGGAAGGGUGGUGUGUUAAUAGCGCAUCACAUUGACGUUACUCGCAGAAGAAGCACCGGCUAACUCCGUGCCAGCAGCCGCGGUAAUACGGAGGGUGCAAGCGUUAAUCGGAAUUACUGGGCGUAAAGCGCACGCAGGCGGUUUGUUAAGUCAGAUGUGAAAUCCCCGCGCUUAACGUGGGAACUGCAUUUGAAACUGGCAAGCUAGAGUCUUGUAGAGGGGGGUAGAAUUCCAGGUGUAGCGGUGAAAUGCGUAGAGAUCUGGAGGAAUACCGGUGGCGAAGGCGGCCCCCUGGACAAAGACUGACGCUCAGGUGCGAAAGCGUGGGGAGCAAACGGGAUUAGAUACCCUGGUAGUCCACGCUGUAAACGAUGUCGAUUUGGAGGUUGUGCCCUUGAGGCGUGGCUUCCGGA
rnacentral:rRNA from 1 species